AGGGUUUGGUUGAGAUUUGGUUUAGGAUUCAGGGUUUGAUUAAGGUUUGGUUUAGGUUUAGAGGUUGGUUAGGAUUUGAUUUAGGAUUUGGUUAGGGUUUGAUUUAGGAUUUGGUUAGGAUUUGAUUUAGGAUUUGGUUAGGAUUUGAUUUAGGAUUUAGAGUUUGAUUAGGGUUUCAUUUAGAAUUUAGGAUUUGAUUAGGAUUUGGUUUAGGAUUUAGGAUUUGAUUUAGGAUUUAGGAUUUUAUUAGGAUUUAUUUAGGAUUUAAGAUUUAAUUAAUUUUAGCCUAAAGUUUGAAUGAAGUCCAAUAGGAUUUUAACUAGAAUUAAAUUAAGAUUGAAUUGUGAUGUAUUUGAGAUAUAUUUGUAAUCAUUCUAAUAUUUCUUUAAGAUUUUUUAUUAUUUCUUUGAAAUUUCUUUGAGAUUUUUUUGAAUUUGAUUAAAGCUUGCUUAGCAUUA
rnacentral:lncRNA from 1 species